CCAAUAGCGUAUAUUAAGGUUGUUGCAGUUAAAAAGCUCGUAGUUGAAUUUCGGGAUCAUCAGGUUGGUCGUGCCUCUGGUAUGUACUGAUUUCGAUGGUCCCUCCUUCUUGAAGAGCCGUAAUGCCAUUAAUUUGGUGUUGCGGGGAAUCAGGACUGUUACUUUGAAAAAAUUAGAGUGUUUAAAGCAGGCAAUCGCUUGAAUACAUUAGCAUGGAAUAAUGAAAUAGGACGUUCGAUCCUAUUUUGUUGGUUUCUAGGAUUGACGUAAUGAUUAAUAGGGAUAGUUGGAGGCAUUAGUAUUCAAUUGUCAGAGGUGAAAUUCUUGGAUUUAUUGAAGACUAACUACUGCGAAAGCAUUUGCCAAGGAUGUUUUCAUUAAUCAAGAACGAAAGUUAGGGGAUCGAAGACGAUCAGAUACCGUCGUAGUCUUAACCAUAAACUAUGCCGACUAGGGAUCGGAUGAUGUUAAUUUUUUAAUGACUCAUUCGGCGCCUUACG
rnacentral:rRNA from 1 species